ensembl:lncRNA LINC02888 long intergenic non-protein coding RNA 2888
UGGUAAAGAAUGGAACAUCUUUUACGUCAAACUACUGAAGUUGUGGGCAAAAUUACAAGCGAUGAUUAUGCAGGAUAGGAGCUUCUAAAAUAUAUAUUUCAGAAAUAAGGAAAAUGCUUUCAGAAAAACUGAGUUCAAGAAGAAAGGGUGAGCGAAAAUAAAGUGGUAAAUGUCACAAUGAUGCAAGAGGUGGGUUCCGACGGCCUUGGGCAGCUCCGCCCCUAUGGAUUUGCAAGCUCCUGGAAAGAAGUCUAUGGAUUAUACUCAACCUACACUCCAGUUAAAGGAACAUCUACACACAGAGGAAAUGAAUAACAUGAAGUGAAGUCUUCAUCUCCAUUCCCAACAGUCCCCAUUCUACUUGCAGAAAGGUUGCUUACACUGAAAAUCAGUUUAUUUUCCCCUGGUGCAAAGAACAGUCGUUUCUCCAAAACUGAAGCUGGAAAUUAUCUGAAAUAUCAGGUCCUCCGGAAAAGGGACGUGAAGCCCCCUUUGUAAUUUCUGCAUUAGCGUGCUCUCCUGGCAAGCAGGAAACCUCAUCAGAGAAGUCAGCCAAGGAAAGUCUUUAAAUGGAAAUUGUGCAAACGAGGAGCAAAUGCAUUAAAAAGUUGCUGACGGGCAUGAAAUGCUUUGAUGUGAAGACGGAAAACUCCAAGCAGGAAGGAUUUUAACAUUUUGAAUCUGAUUGACUCUGUGGUUUCUCAGCACAGUUAUUCCAUGGGCUAAAAUAAAUGCAGAAAUGGUACUUUCAGACCACAGCUGCAGAGGGGAUCGUGGUGAAUUUCAAUGAAAAUCCAUUUGAAUCUUGAGGUUCAGAUCUUAAAAAAGCAAAGGACAUGAGAGAAGUAAUAUUGUUGCUUGAAAUUUCAUUGCUUAUAUCUAAAAGAAACUCCUAUUUUUAAGAGAAAUGUUGAAUCUUUGCAACGUGGUAGACGCUCCCACAAAACUUUCUCCUGAAAUAGGAGAUAAAUGUUGGAAAGAGGCAAUGUAUUGAGUAUGCUGAUAGAGGUGGAGUUCAGAGACAGGCAAGCAUACAUAAGAGUCAGGAUGUUUUUCAGUAUUAUCUUUACAAAUGAGUUUCUUACAGUGGUCAAUGACAAACCAAUUUCAUUCAAAGCUUGCUUCAAUAGGCAAUGGUUUGAUGCCAAUAUGUUAGCUAUUUACUUUGACCACCGUAUGCAUUAAAAAGAAGAAAAAUUAAGAAUACUCAAGCAGAACCUCCAACUUAGAUAGCACUUUCCACAAAAAGUAAUGGAGGGAUAGACUGAAGUUAAAUGGGAUCAGGUAUGUGAUGAGAUCUCAGAAGUGUUUGCACAAUAAUGCAGAUACUCAUUUUAAACAGAGUCAUAAGGAUUGGAACUAAUAAAAAUAAUAGAAUAAAAUACCGAUCAAGAAUGUGUCCUCCUGCGUAUCUGGGUUUUGAAUUCUGGCUCCACAGAACUUGUCAGAUAUAUGACAUUAAACAAGAUACUUCAA